GUAGUCAUAUGCUUGUCUCAAAGAUUAAGCCAUGCAUGUCUAAGUAUAAGCAAUUAUACCGUGAAACUGCGAAUGGCUCAUUAAAUCAGUUAUCGUUUAUUUGAUAGUACCUUACUACUUGGAUAACCGUGGUAAUUCUAGAGCUAAUACAUGCUGAAAACCCCAACUUCGGGAGGGGUGUAUUUAUUAGAUAAAAAACCAACGCCCUUCGGGGCUUCUUGGUGAUUCAUGAUAACUUCACGGAUCGCAUGGCCUUGCGCCGGCGACGGUUCAUUCAAAUUUCUGCCCUAUCAACUUUCGACGGUAAGGUAUUGGCUUACCAUGGUCUCAACGGGUAACGGGGAAU
rnacentral:rRNA from 1 species